AGUGAACGCUGGCGGUAGGCCUAACACAUGCAAGUCGAACGGCAGCACAGUAAGAGCUUGCUCUUACGGGUGGCGAGUGGCGGACGGGUGAGGAAUACAUCGGAAUCUACUUUUUCGUGGGGGAUAACGUAGGGAAACUUACGCUAAUACCGCAUACGACCUACGGGUGAAAGCAGGGGAUCUUCGGACCUUGCGCGAUUGAAUGAGCCGAUGUCGGAUUAGCUAGUUGGCGGGGUAAAGGCCCACCAAGGCGACGAUCCGUAGCUGGUCUGAGAGGAUGAUCAGCCACACUGGAACUGAGACACGGUCCAGACUCCUACGGGAGGCAGCAGGGGGGAAUAUUGGACAAUGGGCGCAAGCCUGAUCCAGCCAUACCGCGUGGGUGAAGAAGGCCUUCGGGUUGUAAAGCCCUUUUGUUGGGAAAGAAAAGCAGCAGGUUAAUACCCCGCUGUUCUGACGGUACCCAAAGAAUAAGCACCGGCUAACUUCGUGC
rnacentral:rRNA from 1 species